UACAGAGGGGGCAAGCGUUAUUCGGAAUUAUUGGGCGUAAAGGGCGCGUAGGCGGCUUGACAAGUGGAAGGUGAAAUCCCUCGGCUUAACCGAGGAACUGCCUUCCAGACUGUCUGGCUUGAGACCGGGAGAGGUGAGUGGAAUUCCUGGUGUAGCGGUGAAAUGCGCAGAUAUCAGGAAGAACACCAAUGGCGAAGGCAGCUCUCUGGGACGGUACUGACGAUGAGACGCGAAAGCGUGGGGAGCGAACAGG
rnacentral:rRNA from 1 species